GACGUAGGGCGCGAGCGUUGUCCGGAAUUAUUGGGCGUAAAGAGCUCGUAGGCGGUGUGUUACGUCGGCCGUGAAAACCUGCAGCUUAACUGUGGGCGUGCGGUCGAUACGGGCAUCACUGGAGUUCGGCAGGGGAGACUGGAAUUCCUGGUGUAGCGGUGAAAUGCGCAGAUAUCAGGAGGAACACCGGUGGCGAAGGCGGGUCUCUGGGCCGAUACUGACGCUGAGGAGCGAAAGCGUGGGGAGCGAACAGG
rnacentral:rRNA from 1 species